rnacentral:rRNA from 1 species
AAUCCUGACACAGGGAGGUAGUGACAAGAAAUAACAAUACAGGGCUACUUCUAGUCUUGUAAUUGGAAUGAGUACAACUUACAUCUCUUCACGAGGAUCAAUUGGAGGGCAAGUCUGGUGCCAGCAGCCGCGGUAAUUCCAGCUCCAAUAGCGUAUAUUAAAGUUGUUGCAGUUAAAAAGCUCGUAGUCGGAUUUCGGGUCGGGCCGAGCGGUCUGCCGAUGGGUAUGCACUGUUCGGCGCGGCCUUCUUUCCGGAGACCGCGGCUACUCUUAACUGAGCGGGCGUGGGAGACGGAUCGUUUACUUUGAAAAAAUCAGAGUGUUUCAAGCAGGCAGCUCGCUCUUGCAUGGAUUAGCAUGGGAUAAUGAAAUAGGACUCUGGUGCUAUUUUGUUGGUUUCGAACACCGGAGUAAUGAUUAACAGGGACAGUC